AAUAGAUACCCGGGUAGUCCACGCCCUAAACGAUGUCGACUAGGUGUUGGGGAAGGAGACUUCCUUAGUACCGCAGCUAACGCGUGAAGUCGACCGCCUGGGGAGUACGGUCGCAAGAUUAAAACUCAAAGGAAUUGACGGGGACCCGCACAAGCGGUGGAUGAUGUGGAUUAAUUCGACGCAACGCGAAGAACCUUACCUACCCUUGACAUGUACGGAAGUCCGCUGAGAGGUGGAUGUGCCCGAAAGGGAGCCGUAACACAGGUGCUGCAUGGCUGUCGUCAGCUCGUGUCGUGAGAUGUUGGGUUAAGUCCCGCAACGAGCGCAACCCUUGCCAUUAGUUGCCACAUUCAGUUGGGCACUCUAAUGGGACUGCCGGUGACAAACCGGAGGAAGGUGGGGAUGACGUCAAGUCCUCAUGGCCCUUAUGGGUAGGGCCUCACACGUCAUACAAUGGCGCAUCAGAGGGUUGCCAACCCGCGAGGGGGAGCCAAUCCCAGAAAGUGCGUCGUAGUCCGGAUUGGAGUCUGCAACUCGAU
rnacentral:rRNA from 1 species